rnacentral:rRNA from 1 species
GCGCAGCAGUCGAGAAUCGUUCACAAUGGGCGCAAGCCUGAUGGCGCGACGCCGCGUGUGGGAUGGAGGCCUUCGGGUUGUAAACCACUGUCACAGGGGAAGAAAGGCACGGAUGCUAACAUCGUCCGUGUUUGACGUUACCCUGAGAGGAAGCCACGGCUAACUCCGUGCCAGCAGCCGCGGUAAUACGGAGGUGGCAAGCGUUGUUCGGAAUUACUGGGCGUAAAGGGUGCGCAGGCGGUCUGUUGUGUUCGAUGU